GGAGAGAUGGCUGAGAGGUUUAAAGCGUGGCAUUGGAAAUGCCAUUUAAAGGAAACUUUAACAAGGGUUCGAAUCCCUUUCUCUCCU
rnacentral:tRNA from 1 species